rnacentral:misc_RNA from 1 species
CCGAGUUUACAACUCCCAAACCCCUGUGAACAUACCACUUGUUGCCUCGGCGGAUCAGCCCGCUCCCGGUAAAACGGGACGGCCCCGCCAGAGGACCCCUAAACUCUGUUUCUAUAUGUAACUUCUGAGUAAAACCAUAAUUAAAUCA